UAGAUAUUUUGAGUGGAGCAUUUACCUCAAUAUAAGAUAAGCAGUACCCUCUCCUCAACCAUUUCACACGAGAGAAUAGAGGAAUGACGAGCGCUUCCUUUACUUUAUCCUCCUCUUCCUCGCUUAUCCCCUCUCCUCUACCCAGCCCGACUUCUAUUGGUGGUCGCCGUCUUAUCAUCACCAGCGCCGGCGCCGGCGGACUCUUCCGCCUUCGCUGCGCUGUGGCCGCCACAACCUGUUCUUCUAGGAUUGCAUUUCAGAAGAAGAAACACUGGAAAGAAGGUGAAUACCCAGGUUUCUCUGAAGUUUCUGUUUCCCACCUGAACAACAAGAAGGGGAGGAGGACCCCUAUUAAGAAAAAAAUCGAUAGAAAGAAUACCGCCAAUCCUUGGGUCAAUACUGUUCCUGAAGCUCUUUCUGAUUGCAUUGAUAAAAAGCAAUGGCAACAAGCCCUUCAGGUAUUUGAGAUGUUAAAGAAGCAACCUUUUUAUCAACCAAAAGAAGGUACUUACAUGAGGCUCCUUGUUCUUCUUGGAAGAUGUGGACAACCAGGUCACGCUCAACAGCUUUUUGAUUCAAUGGUUGAAGAGGGACUGGAACCCACUUCAGAACUCUAUACCGCCUUGAUAGGUGCUUAUAGUAGAAGCAACCUACUUGAUAAAGCAUUUGCUCUUCUUCAUGCCAUGAUUGAGCUACCUCAUUGUCCGCCAGAUGUUUACACCUACAGUAUAUUAAUCAAGGCAUGUGUGGACGCCAGCCGAUUUGAUUUGGUUGAGUCACUUUAUGAACAAAUGGCUGAUCGUACCAUAGUUCCUAAUACUGUCACCCAAAAUAUAGUCUUGAGUGGUUAUGGUAGAGCAGGCAAGUAUGCAGAAAUGGAAAAAGUGCUUUUAGGGAUGCUAGAGAGUGCUGACAGCAAACCUGAUGUAUGGACUAUGAACACUAUCCUUAGCAUAUUUGGCAACAAGGGGCUGAUUGAAAUGAUGGAGAGAUGGUAUGAAAAAUUCCGUAAUUUUGGGAUUGAGCCAGAAACGCGGACAUUUAAUAUCCUCAUUGGUGCUUAUGGGAAGAAAAAGAUGUAUGAUAAAAUGUCUUCUGUAAUGGAGUACAUGCGUAAACUCUCAUUUCCAUGGACAACAUCAACAUUCAAUAAUGUCAUUGAGACGUUCUCAGAUGCAGGUGAUGCAAAGCAUAUGGAAUACGCCUUUGAUCAAAUGCGUGCAGAAGGGAUGAAAGCUGACACCAAGACCUUUUGCUGUCUCAUCAGAGGAUAUGCCAAUGCAGGCCUUUUUCAUAAGGUGAUCAACACUGUCCAGUUAGCUGGGAAAUUGGAGAUUCCUGAAAACACUUCCUUUUUCAAUUCUGUUAUUUAUGCGUGUGCAAAGGCUGAGGACGUAAUGGAGAUGGAGAGGGUUUUCAAGCGAAUGAAAGAUAAGCAAUGUCAACCUGAUCUCAUGACUUACUCUACUAUGAUUGAUGCAUACCAGAAAGAAUGCAUGACUGACAAAGUUUAUGAUUUGGAACAAGAAAAGCUCAUGAUUGUUGCCAUUCACUCCAAUGAUCGCUUCAAUGAUGAGGAAAAGCUAGAGCUGCUGCCUACUUGAGAGCUAAAGUCGUCCUUUUCUUUUUCAAGGAAAACAAGCAGCCUUAUUUCAUCCCAUUUCCAGAGAUCUCUGCUCCGUCCAACAGCAAGAAGGAAAAGAUUUGUUGAAAAGCUACUAACCUGGUCUGCCCUUGCAUGCAAUGAGAAUUCCGUCACUGUGGUUAGCUCCGGAAGGUCCUUUUUAUUCUAGCAGGAUGGUUGGUUUGUAUUUUGAGGCUUUCAUUUUGGGUUUGUGCCGUUAGGCGUUUUAACUUUGAACUUUUGGUCAAAGUUUGACAUCGGCCAACAUUCUUGGUAAACGUGCUCGGAUGAGAAUUUCAUCAGUGCGGUUAGCUUCGGAAGGUCCUUUUUAUUCUAGUAGGAUGGUUGGUUUGGAUUUUGAGGCUUUCAUUUUGAGUUUGUGCCGUUAGGCGUUUUAACUUUGAAGGUUUGGCCAAAAUUUGACUUUGGUCAACAUUCUUGGUAAACGUGCUCAAAUGAGAAUUCUGUCAGUGUGGUUAGCUCCGGAAGGUCCUUUUUAUAUAGGUAAGAUGGUUGGUAUGGAUUUUGAGGCUUUCAUUUUGAGUUUGUGUCGUUAAGCAUUUUAAAUUUAAAGUUUUAUUCAAAGUUUGACAUUGGCCAACAUUCUUAGAAAACAUGCUCGGAUGACAAUUCUGUCAGUGCGGUUAUCUCCAGAAGGUCCUAUUUAUUCUAGUAGGAUGAUUGGUUUGGAUUUUGAGACUUUCAUUUUGAGUUUGUGGCAUUAGGACUUAGGCGUUUUAACUUUAAGGUUUUGGCCAAAAUUUGAUCAACAUUCUUGGUAUAUGUGCUCAGAUGAGAAUUCCGUCGGUGUGGUUAGCUCCGGAAGGUCCUUUUUAUUAUAAUAGGAUGGUUGGUUCAGGUAUCGAGGCUUUCGUUUUGAGUUUGUGCAUUUAGGCGUUUUAACUCUUGAAGUUUUUGCCAAAGUUUUAAUGAUUGAACUGAAAAUUUAGUUGGACUGAUGAAUUUAUUACCUCCAGUGAGCUUCCCCUUCCUACUCGUCUUUAACUGGCUUAUUUGUACCCAGCUACAUGAUGGAAGUCCCCUCGGCCAAUCGUCACUUGACAGCAUAGUCCUUGAUGACCAUAAGCACUUUCUAUCUUGAAUUGACUCCUAAUUAAAUAUAAGUCUUUUCUAAAGAUACAAUCAAAUUCAUUAUAUAUAUGCUUUUUUGUAGAUCAAAAAUUUCUUCAUCUUCUCACAGGCAAAUCUUGAAGAACGUUCAAUCCAAAUUCUUUCUUUGAGAUUAGAAACUUUUGUAAUCUUAAACUUUGCUUAUCUAUGAGUAGCAAUGUCAUUAUUAAGUUUAUUGUUGCAGUGAUAAAAAUAUUUUUUGGAGUUUUAAACUGGCUGGAUAUCCUCUUAUGAUAUCCCCUGCAUCACAUGUUAAAUUUUUUUGUGAGCUAUACAUGUGAAAAUAAGUUAGUAUAAUUCUGUAUUGUCCAAUGGAAAGUUCUAUUAAGAAUGUGUCACAGAUUUCACCUUGUGGGUUAGUUACCUGGAGCCCUGGUCUAUUUCUAUGGAAGAAUUUGCAGAACUUGAUGCAGAUAUGGGGAAGUCUAACAGAAGUACAUUAAAGGAGGUUACCCCGCCAAUGCCACUUGGUUAUACCUCUUCUUGGCAAGUUUUUGUAUUAGCCAACUACUUAUACUACAGAUCUUUGGUCAUGCAUUUUAUUGGUUUUGCCCACAAGUUUCUUUACACAGAUCCAGAAGUGAUAGUCAAGAUGGUUUCAUAGGUGAUAACAGUAUUAACCUCAUCUACAGAACUGAUGGACCUCAUAAAAAAUGUGGAUUUCCUUCUAUUCAUGAGCAACUACAGGACUGGGAGGAUGGGCUAUCUGAGAUCUUUUUUACAUGAGAACUGGAACAAAGAUUUACGACUCUUCAGUGAUGGUGAAGAUGGUGGACAAAAGUUGCUCCAGUUGUUUGUAUUGCGAGCAGAAUCUGAACUGCAAUCAGUUGGUGGGGAAAAUCUUUCUCAAAACCUCCAGUGUUUGGACAGACUGAAAUCCCAGCUGUGCCAGUUAUUUGGUAGCCCUAUUAUGAAGUCCCAGAAUACUCUAGAGACUGUACAAUGUGAGUACUUGAGGGAUGAAAUCUUCAAACCCAGGAGUUUUGCAAAUAGAGCAAUGGUCGGUCGAUAUUAAAUACAAGGGUGAUUGGAUGAAGCGGCCUAUCUUAGAUGAUGAAAUUGGGUGGCUGGCAAAGGUGCUUGUAAAGCUAUCAGGCUGGUGGGGUUGAGCCAAGUCGAGAGCAGCCAAGAGAGUCCUUAUUGGUCAUAUGUUGACUUGUCCAGUGAUGCAACGAGUGUGUGCGGAUCCGUGGAAAUGAUUAAAGUUGUGUUGUGUUCUUUCAUUUCCCGGCUUCUUCUGUUACGUGGAGCUGGUGUGAGGUUCAUAAGAAAGUUGUGUGUUAAUGGUUGGAAAGAAGAUGAUGGAACCUUUACACAUGGAUAUUUGAUGGAACUCGAACAACACAUCAAUACUCGUCAUCCUAAUUGCGGAUUGCAAUCUCUACCACAUAUUUGUUCUAAAAUAAGAGUUGAAAAAAUGUUAUAUAGCUAUGGAUCUAUCUUAGUUAAUGAUCCAAAAGCUUGGAAUGACUUGAUAAAGGGGAUUUAUAAUUUUUAAAUUAUUAGCAAACUAAAGCUAGUUACUUAUAUUUUCUCUUGGUGAAUAUGACCUCUGUCUUUGGAGUAUUUUCAGUUAUUUCAUGUUGUUUAUUUUUUUCUUAGGUUGAUCCAUAUGCCAAGUCAAUUUUUUUCUUAGGUUGAUCCAUAUGCCAAGUCAAUGAACUUUAGGAAAUGGCCAUUAUUUGCUGAUUGGGAAGAGAUAUUUGGCAAUGAUAAAACUACUAGACAGUUUGUUGAGGGGCCAGAAGAUGUUGAAGAAAUAGAAAGAACUGUAGCUCAAGAAGUUGCUAAUAACAUGUCUUUGGAAUUUUCUAUUAUUGUUGUCGAUGAAGAUGAUGCUCCAGCUGAAGAAGAUCAAAUUGCUCAAGAGGAACCUAGUGUAUCAACUGAAGCAACACAAAGUUUAUGGUGUGCUUUUUAAGCAUCAAUGAAAUUGAUCGUAACACUAUGGUAUGAAUGAUUAUUAAUGAUAACUUUAAACCUUUGAAUGGCAUUUGGUAUAGCUAGCUUCUUUGUAAGGUUUAACCAUGGCCUAGUUCACUUUUAUUUUGUCUAUGUUCUAUGUGCUAUGUGCCAGUUUAUGUAAUUUAACAAUGAAUUAUGUAAGUUUCAUUCAUGAUAAAUGAAGAUGGGUGUAGUUUGAUUC